CAUUCUCAAUAAACUACUUCU
rnacentral:tRNA from 1 species